GAACGUUGGCGGCGUGGAUUAGGCAUGCAAGUCGAGCGAGAACCCAGCAAUGGGGGACAGCGGCGCAAGGGACAGUAAUGUGUAGAUUAUCUGCCCUCGGGUCCGGGAUAGCUGCGGGAAACUGCAGGUAAUACCGGAUAACAUCUCCGGAUCAAAGGUGUGAUUCCGCCCGAGGAUGAGUCUACAUCCUAUUAGCUAGUUGGCAGGGUAAUGGCCUACCAAGGCGAUGAUGGGUAGCGGGUGUGAGAGCACGACCCGCGUCAUUGGGGCUGAGACACUGCCCAGACACCUACGGGUGGCUGCAGUCGAGAAUCUUCGGCAAUGGGCGCAAGCCUGACCGAGCGACGCCGCGUGUGGGAUGAAGGCCUUCGGGUUGUAAACCACUGUCAGAGGGGAUGAAAUGCAGGUGGGUUCUCCCAUCUGUUUGACAUAGCCUCAGAGGAAGGACGGGCUAAGUUCGUGCCAGCAGCCGCGGUAAGACGAACCGUCCGAACGUUAUUCGGAAUCACUGGGCUUAAAGGGUGCGUAGGCGGCGCGGAAAGUUGGGUGUGAAAUCCCUCGGCUUAACCGAGGAACUGCGCCCAAAACUACCGUGCUUGAGGGAGAUAGAGGUGAGCGGAACUUAGGGUGGAGCGGUGAAAUGCGUUGAUAUCCUAAGGAACACCGGUGGCGAAAGCGGCUCACUGGAUCUCUUCUGACGCUGAUGCACGAAAGCUAGGGUAGCGAACGGGAUUAGAUACCCCGGUAGUCCUAGCCGUAAACGAUGAGCACUGGAUUGGAGGGCCCUCCAUAGCCUUCCGGUCGCAACGAAAGCGUUAAGUGCUCCGCCUGGGGAGUAUGGUCGCAAGGCUGAAACUCAAAG
rnacentral:rRNA from 1 species